GCCUACGGGGCGCAGCAGUCGGGAAUAUUGCGCAAUGGAGGAAACUCUGACGCAGUGACGCCGCGUAUAGGAAGAAGGUUUUCGGAUUGUAAACUAUUGUCGUUAGGGAAGAUAAAAGACUGUACCUAAGGAGGAAGCCCCGGCUAACUAUGUGCCAGCAGCCGCGGUAAUACAUAGGGGGCAAGCGUUAUCCGGAAUUAUUGGGUGUAAAGGGUGCGUAGACGGGAAUGCAAGUUGGUUGUGAAAUCCCUCGGCUUAACUGAGGAACUGCAACCAAAACUACAUUUCUUGAGUGCUGGAGAGGA
rnacentral:rRNA from 1 species